GACGAACGCUGGCGGCGUGCUUAACACAUGCAAGUCGAACGAAGUGGCGAACGGGUGAGUAAUGCGUAUUCAACCUGCCCUUCAGAGGGGGACACCAGUUGGAAACGACUGCUACUACCGCUUACUGAAGGAGGGGAUUGCGUCUGAUUAGCUAGUUGGAGGGGUAACGGCCCACCAAGGCGAUGAUCCGGAGCCGGGCUGUAAGGAGGAACGUCCACAUUGGGACUGAGACACGGCCCAGACUCCUACGGGGGGCAGCAAUGGGGAAUCUUCCCCAAUGGACGAAAGUCUGACGGAGCAACGCCCCGUGAGUGAUGACGGCCUUCGGGUUGUAAAGCUCUGUUAAUCGGGACGCGGUACCGGAAUAGAAAGCCACGGCUAACUACGUGCCAGCAGCCGCGGUAAUAC
rnacentral:rRNA from 1 species